UCAUUUUUUUUCCAAAAAAAUAGGAGCGAGCGAAUCCGUGAACCAAGAAAUUAAAUCAGUGUGGCCUAACUGUCAGGCAGUACAUCUUUGUUAUGGUUAUAUACGAUGUAUAAUAUAGUUAAGUAAAAGUCCUAACAUUUUAGUACAAUCUAGUGUCCUACUAAACAACUCUUUGUUUUGAAUCCUUGGUAAAACUAAAACACAGGUAGCCCAUAGCCUGUCUUGAAUCUAUAUGGUCCUUGGGUUGUUAUUGACUGUGUCAAGAGCACGGUUCUGGAAGGUGGACCCUCUCCUUUCACUGCCUUCGCCCUCCCCGACUAAAGUCAGUUUUACACCUGGGUGAAGUGAGGAAAGUCAUGUAAAAUGCCUAUCCCUAGGGUACAACAUCAUUGGCAUGUCAGGGGAUUCUAACCCAAAACCCUGCCAAAACUCUGCCAUGCCAACACAAUGUAAAAAGUUGUACCAUUCUGGACUUCACAGAUAAAGACAUUCUAUACAAGACUUCUUUUUGCACAGUGAUUUUAUAUUAUGUGAGUCCUGUUUCAUAUCUCUACAUGUAGCUGUCCAAAAAUAUUAUUUUCUGUACAUCAAGGUUUAGAUGAUCUCUUUUAGUUUUUGUCAUUAGAUAAUGAUAAACUGAACUAUAACAGCAAUAUUAUGUAACGA